AAAUCUGGAGAGUGGUACUUAGUAUUGUAAGUACCCACCGAAGGGGAAAAGAUAGCGGUGAUCAGCCACUAUCGAAAAUCUCAGGUAACAGGACAGAUGGGGC
rnacentral:ncRNA from 1 species